UUUUUACUAUAUCAAUAUUUUUUCUUACUUUUUUAGUUCAAAAUUUACUAACAAGAUUCUGAGCUUUCUGCUUUUGGUAUCUUCCAUGUUGUUGAGAUGGAGACAUUACAUCUUCUCAUUUUAUACAUGGAUUGUGUUCAUUAUGCUUUCUAGGAUUUGGAACCAUUCAACAAACUUUAUGAAUAGAACAAACCUCAGUUUUCUAAAGUUGGUGUAGGAAAUAUAUGCAAAUUUUGAAAUACUUUUUUCACUUGCUUGAGGACAGUUAGUUUUCUAUGUCCUAAGAGAAUCGGAUGCCAAGACUUUAUUUUGGACAUAUAUGUAAGGCACAAAUAACAUUUGAUAACAAUUAAUGUUUUAUUUUGCAUUGAUCAAUAAACUUGCUCCUUCUGGCAUGUCAUCCUCUUUCCCUAUUCUUUUCUUCACAUCAAUAUCAUAUAAGUAAGUUUUACAUUCUCAUUCCUAAAUACUUGUUAUUUGUUUAUCUAAUUUUAUGCUUCUGUUUCUACAAUUUUUUUUUUUAUAUAUUACUAUAUAUAUUUAAAAAGGUAGGUUCAUCUCUAACUAUGCUUUAUUUAUUCUUAAUAGUUACUGAAAUCUCUAACUAUGAACAGGUAACUCACAAUCAUUUAAACAGAAUUUGGUGGAGUCAAGAGAAUCAUACACUACAGUCUACAUCUUUACAUUAUGCUCAGUGUAGGUACUCUUUCAUACCACAAUGAAUACGUUGUACACUAGAUUUACAUUUCAUCAACAAUUAGUUACGCUUUUCCUUAUGAUAAUAUUAUCACAUACUUAAGUUCAUUAUAUAUUGUUGAAUUUUUAUUCUAUACUACCAAUUUUGUUCUGUUUA
rnacentral:lncRNA from 1 species